CUCGUAGGCGGACUAGUAAGUCUGGCGUGAAAUCUCCACCGCUCACCGGGGAGAGGUCGCUGGAUACUGCUAGUCUUGAGUUCGGUAGAGGGUCGUGGAAUUUCGGGUGUAGCGGUGGAAUGCGUAGAUAUCCGAAAGAACACCGGUGGCGAAGGCGGCGACCUGGGCCUGAACUGACGCUGAGGAGCGAAAGCUAGGGGAGCAAACG
rnacentral:rRNA from 1 species